CCUACGGGAGGCAGCAGUGAGGAAUAUUGGUCCAUGGGCGCGAGCCUGAACCAGCCAAGUAGCGUGAAGGAUGACUGCCCUACGGGUUGUCAACUUCUUUUAUCAAGGAAUAAAGUGAGGCACGUGUGCCUUUUUGUAUGUACUUUAUGAAUAAGAAUCGGCUAACUCCGUGCCAGCAGCAGCGGUAAUACGGAGGAUCCGGGCGUUAUCCGGAUUUAUUGGGUUUAAAGGGAGCGUAGAUGGGGUGUUAAGUCAGUUGUGAAAGUUUGCGGCGCAACCGUAAAAUUGCAAUUGAUACUGGCAGCCUUGAGUACAGUAGAGGUAUGCGGAAUUCGUGGUGUAGCGGUGAAAUGCUUAGAUAUCACGAAGAACUCCGAUGGCGAAGGCAGCCUACUAGACUGCCACUGACAUUGAUGCUCGAAAGUGUGGGUAUCAAACAGGAUUAGAUACCUCAGUAGUC
rnacentral:rRNA from 1 species